rnacentral:rRNA from 1 species
AAACUAACAAGGAUUCCCCUAGUAGCGGCGAGCGAAGCGGGAAGAGCUCAAAUUUAUAAUCUGGCACUUUCAGUGUCCGAGUUGUAAUCUCUAGAAGUGUUUUCCGCGUUGGACCGCACACAAGUCUGUUGGAAUACAGCGGCACAGUGGUGACACCCCCGUACACGGUGCGGACGCCCAGCGCUUUGUGAUACACUUUCGAAGAGUCGAGUUGUUUGGGAAUGCAGCUCAAAUUGGGUGGUAAAUUCCAUCUAAAGCUAAAUAUUGGCGAGAGACCGAUAGCGAACAAGUACCGUGAGGGAAAGAUGAAAAGCACUUUGGAAAGAGAGUUAACAGUACGUGAAAUUGUUGGAAGGGAAACGCUUGAAGUCAGACUUGCUUGCCGGAGCUUGCUUCGGUUUGCAGGCCAGCAUCAGUUUUCCGGGGUGGAUAAUGGCGGUUAGAAGGUAGCAGCUUCAGCUGUGUUAUAGCUUUCCGCUGGAUACAUCCUGGGGGACUGAGGAACGCAGCGUGCUUUUAGCGGGGGUUUCGACCUCUUCACGCUUAGGAUGCUGGUGUAAUGGCUUUAAACGACCCGUCUU